GUCUCAAGAUCCUCAUCCUCUGGAAUACUUGGGGAAGAUGGUGUUUGUCUUGUCUUACAUCUGUUUCUGAGUCGUCCCCCUUGCAGCCUGAGUCAUGCACAACCCUUGGUUCUGGGUUAAAAGGAAUAGUCAGGUGAAAAGAGAAAAGGGGAUUUGUAAAUGGACAUCUCCAGCUCACAGAUGGAAAAGUGCUUUGGAAAUCUGCCUUGUUGCUCUCGCUAUCCGCCAUCUCAACUUGCAUUCCUAGUGUCAUUCACUUCCGAUUCCCUGUUACCACAGAGCUACGUCACCUUCAUCUCUCACCUGGAUUAUUGCACUAAUCCCCUCAUAUUGACCUACUUCUAGAAUAAUCUAUUCUCAGCAGGGAAGCCAGACUGAUUCUAAUAAUUUGUAAGAUAAUAUCUGUAGUCAAGACCCUCCAGAGCUACCCCACGUUACUUGGAGUAAGAGCCUGAAUCCCUACAAUGGCCCAUAGGCCAUAGCUGAUGGUCUAGGUGACUACUUCUCCACCUAUUACUACUUAUGCUUACUGCUUACUACUGUAACCUAUUUCCAUGCUUACUCUUGUUUCCCACACCCCUCUGGCCACAUGGGCUUCCCAACUGUUUCUGUAGCAUACCAAACAGCUUGGUCCAGAUCACUGCCUCCCAGGUAUCAGCAUGGCUCACUCAACUAGAUCUGUCCUGAUCAUGCUAUUUAAAUUGCUACCUGUCUCACCUUCCAGCAUUCCUAUUCCUUUCUAGCUUCAUUUCACUUCAUAGCACUUGUUCCUUAAUACAUUAUGCAGUUUACUUAUUCAUCUUAUUGCUUAUCUUGAUCCAAUAGAAUGUAAAUGUCACAAGGGCAGAGAUUUUUUUUCUGUUU